AAGUUUUAAAACUAUGUUUGUCAGUUUUUGUCGAUGCACGAAACGCUGACGACAACAAAAAGACUCUGCAGAUCAUCGGGGAAGCUCUAAUUUUUUUCGAGUUCAAAUUGUUGUCCUCUUUUGAUGAUGUGUUAUCUUCCAUUUCGAUGGAUCAAAUUCCCACGACCUUUGGCGGAAGCUAUGAGUACGACCACGGUGCUUGGCUGCAGUUUCGAUUGAAACAGGAAACCUUCAUGACGGGUUGUCGAAGUGCAACAAAGCUGGCUUUGACGGCAAUAGAUGAACUUGGAAUAGGAAAAUUUGGUGAAACGGUAAAAGAAUGUCAGAGAUUGCUCGAAGAACACGAUGAAAAAGUUAGCGCCAUCUUUUCAGACAGCCGCCUGUCUGCGUUGCAAGUCGAAGGUGAACAACUUGUGUCGGACAUGCAGCAGACAGAUAACUCGAACAAAACAUUAGACUGGAAAUAUAUCAUGGAAAUUGUCUCGAAAUUAUCUUUCAAAAUGAAUCAAGUUUUCUCCAAGCUGGAAGUUUUGUAUAGAAAACGAAAACGAGAGCUCGAGGAUUGUCUACAGUUAAAAUGCUUUCAAGAGGAAUACGCUAAGGUACUAAAAUGGCUACAGGAUGUCGGUAUGCCUUGUUUAGAAAAACCUUUGGAGAUUACACAGUGAUAUAGACAGGCACUCAGUUACCAUGGUAACUUCAAGAAAUUCCUGACUUCUGCUAAGGUAUUAUGGUAUGGAUUGGGAAGUAAAAACUACAGUUGAUUAUAUCAAUUUGUCGCAGGCACAGACAUGAACACCAGUGUUUUCUAACCUUUACUUAACCCCUCCCAUUCUUUGUUAAAGGUUUCUUUGAAAGGAAACUGGUCCACCUAGAGAAAAUCUAAAACUUUGGGCUUAGCGUUCACGAAUACCUGACUGCACAACUUUUCUUAAAUAUGUUUGUAAAUGUAGAUCGUCCAGAGUUAUAUACUCCAAGCUCAAGAUUUACUGGAGAUAGUUCAUUUAGUUCAUUUACUGCAGAUAGUUCCAUUACAAAUAGUUCUUUUUGUCGUUUUCGUCGUCGUCAUGCAAGACGUGAGCUCGGAGCAAAUCGAAAAAAUGAAGAUCUAGUGACGUUGGUUAAGAUGGUUGAAGAAUUACAAAUUUAGAAUGCAAAAGUGUUGAAAAAGUCAGAAGAAAAUUCUAGACUGAUCAAGAAUAUCAUUGGAAUUCAUGAAUAGGAAAAUGACUCUGCGCAGUCUCAAGACGAAAGUGUUAAGUCUUUAAAAUAUUGAAAUGUCUAUCUUCAUAAAGAUAAUGCUAUGAAUGAACUAUGUUUGCAUCGAACUGACAAAAUUAAAAGGUCUAAAAUAUUCAAACACUUCAUCAAAGAUAUUGUGCAAAUACACUAUUCAUGAAAUAUUGCGAAAGAAUUUCAUCGAAAAGAUGCCAGGAAACUGAAGGAUAUUUGAAAUUUUCUAAAUGGAUAUUAAAAAACUUUAAUAACUUGAGAAAUGAGAAUGUAAAACAACGUCGUUUUAAAAGUUCUAAUAAACGAGAAUGUAAAAUUAAUACCGAAAUCUUUCCUGUCAAAAGAAAUUUAACAUUUUUGAUAA